UACAGAGGGUGCGAGCGUUAAUCGGAAUUACUGGGCGUAAAGCGCACGUAGGUGGCGACGUAAGUCGGGUGUGAAAGCCCCGGGCUCAACCUGGGAAUGGCAUUUGGGACUGCAAGGCUUGAGUGCGGCAGAGGAGACUGGAAUUCCUGGUGUAGCAGUGAAAUGCGUAGAUAUCAGGAGGAAUACCGAUGGCGAAGGCAGGUCUCUGGGCUGACACUGACGCUCAUGCACGAAAGCGUGGGGAGCAAACAGG
rnacentral:rRNA from 1 species